AUACAGAACACAACAGGCAUCGAAGUUCGUUGGUCGAUGAGUUUGUGUAAUCCAAGGAGAACGGAUCCCACGGUAUUUCAGCACCGGCUACGCGACGUGGGAUCAGUCGUGCACACAGCGCUCUAACCUACACACGCGUGCGCACAUGCAUACGUGAUCUGCACAGAUCGCGUUGAUACAUCAGUACGGAGGUCAAUUGAUCAUGUGAAAGCGAGAGUGACCGGAGUUGAGAGGCGAGGAAAAAGCAGGUAAAGGAAGGAACACACGCCCAUAAAUGGGAGACCUGCAUGGGUGUGCGUUCUAUAGGGCGCGGCUAUAGCAUAAGAUUGAAAAAUCAGUGAAUUGACUAAGAUCACUAAGCAGUUUCAUUAAAUUAUUCCUUUUCAACGGAAAACAGCGCGCACUGCGGGGAUUUCUGAAAACAAUACCUGGUGGACAGUUAAAACACUUCGAUUCUUCGUUUUAUUUCACACUUUAAAAGCAUAAGUGUGAGGAGUUCGUUAAUUGGUUGAAGAUAUUGGUAAUGAAUGAAAUCAUGUAAUGAAAGAAGUUGAUGGUAAAAUAUGAUGAUACACAAGAAAUCCAACCACAGUGUGUGUAUUCUAUAAUGGAAAUUACAGAUUGUUUAAGUAGUUCCUAAAUGAAGAAUUAUUAAACUAAUAUUAGACAAGAAAAAUAGCAUAAUAAGCAGUUGAUUCCGGAUAUGGAAAAGACACGAUACAAGGGCUCCUGGUUCCAAUUCUUCGAGAAAUUGAUAGAUUCGUGGCCAAUGUCUAGUUUGGACUGUCUUUUCGGCACAU